rnacentral:miRNA from 22 species
ACCACCCCCAAACCCCCUCCUCUGAAGAGGAGGGGGCUUUUAGAUCAGCGUCUUAACUCCCCCUCCUCUUCAGAGGAGGGGGUUGGGGGUGGU